CCCUUAGAUGUCCUGGGCUGCACGCGCGCUACACUGGAAGUUACGGAUUGAGAUACUACCUUGUCCGAAAUGGUCCGGGUAAUCACCUAAAAGCUUGUCAUAAUUGGAAUGGAUUAUUGUAACUAGUAAUCCUGAACGAGGAAUUCCUAGUAAGUCCCAGUCAACAGCUGGUACUGAUUACGUCCCUGCCCUUUGUACACACCGCCCGUCGCUACUGCUGAUUGGACGUUUAAGCAAGAUUUUUAAACACUGACAGUGUGUAGUUCACGCUAUACUACAGUGAGAAGAAGAAGAUCGAGCUUACUUGUCUAGAGGAAGUAAAAGUCGUAACA
rnacentral:rRNA from 1 species